CCUACGGUGGGCAGCAGUGGGGGAUAUUGCACAAUGGGGGGAACCCUGAUGCAGCGACGCCGCGUGGGUGAAGGAGCGUUUCGGCGCGUAAAGCCCUAUCGGCAGGGAAGAAGAUGACGGUACCUGACCAAGAAGCCCCGGCUAACUACGUGCCAGCAGCCGCGGUAAUACGUAGGGGGCAAGCGUUAUCCGGAAUUACUGGGUGUAAAGGGAGCGUAGACGGUGAUGUAAGUCUGGAGUGAAAGGCGGGGGCCCAACCCCCGGACUGCUCUGGAAACUAUGUGACUGGAGUGCAGGAGAGGUGAGCGGAAUUCCUAGUGUAGCGGUGAAAUGCGUAGAUAUUAGGAGGAACACCAGUGGCGAAGGCGGCUCACUGGACUGUAACUGACGUUGAGGCUCGAAAGCGUGGGGAGCAAACAGGAUUAGAUACCCCGGUAGUC
rnacentral:rRNA from 1 species